GGGGCCUUCUUCACCCAUGCCACAGCAUCUUUCUGCUUCUGAAGGCAGUGGUUGUCCUAAGCAGUGUCCUGCUCCACAGAGGCAGAAGAGCUUUUGACACAAAGGUUGAUUUGAACCUGAACUGUGAGUACAUGAACACUUGCUCUGGCAUACGGGAGUAGGCGGCACAGGAGCAAAACAAGAAGACAGAGAUGGGAAAGGAGGGAAAGGAUGGACUUUUUGGAAACAUAUAUAAUUAGUGCCAGCUUCUGAAGCUGUGAUGUUAAAGUCAGCACCCCAAGACAGUGGUGCUCUGGAAUCAUCUCUCUUAGAACUACUAGGAAUCCUUUCUGGCAGUAAAAUGUUCACUUAGAAGAUCAACAGGAGAGACUAAAACACAAAACAGAGUCCUGAGGUUAUUGAUGUCUAAAGCAA